rnacentral:lncRNA from 1 species
UUUUUUUAGAAUAUGAAACUAAUUUGGCAAGUUUGACAGAUUCUUUAUGCAAGUCAUUGAAUGCAUCUUGGAGUUCACCAAAAGAAAUAGAUAAGUCAUAGUUAGAAGACAUUACCUCUUCUCUGCUUUCAUAAUCUUUGACCAUGAGACCCAAAUUUAUGAUUUUAUUUUCUGAAUCACUUGAAGAAUCCAUAUCAUUAUCUUCCCAAGUGAUGUAUGCUUUCUUUUCUUUGAAAUUUUUCUUGUCGGAUUUUUCCAUUCUCCUUUUAAAGAUAGGACAAUCAAAUCUCAUGU